rnacentral:tRNA from 1 species
GGAGAGAUGUCCGAGUCUGGCCGAAGGAGCACGAUUGGAAAUCGUGUGUACCGUUCACCCGGUACCGAGGGUUCAAAUCCCUCUCUCUCCG